rnacentral:rRNA from 1 species
AGGAUGAACGCUAGCGGCAGGCCUAAUACAUGCAAGUCGAACGGUGGUAGCAAUACCAUAGUGGCGCACGGGUGCGUAACGCGUAGCCAACCUACCCGAAUCUGGGGGAUAGCCCGCCGAAAGGCGGAUUAAUACCGCAUAAGACCACGGACCGGCAUCGGUUGGUAGUUAAAGAUUUAUUGGA